UACGAAGGGGGCUAGCGUUGCUCGGAAUCACUGGGCGUAAAGCGCACGUAGGCGGACUCUUAAGUCUGUGGUGAAAUCCUGGAGCUCAACUCCAGAACUGCCUUCGAUACUGGGAGUCUCGAGUCCGGGAGAGGUGAGUGGAACUGCGAGUGUAGAGGUGAAAUUCGUAGAUAUUCGCAAGAACACCAGUGGCGAAGGCGGCUCACUGGCCCGGUACUGACGCUGAGGGACGAAAGCUAGGGGAGCGAAUGGG
rnacentral:rRNA from 1 species